CCCGCAACGAGCGCAACCCUCGUUCUAUGUUGCCAGCACGUCAUGGUGGGGACUCAUAGGAGACUGCCGGGGUCAACUCGGAGGAAGGUGGGGAUGACGUCAAGUCAUCAUGCCCCUUAUGUCCAGGGCUUCACGCAUGCUACAAUGGCCGGUACAAAGGGCUGCGAUCCCGUGAGGGGGAGCGAAUCCCAAAAAGCCGGUCUCAGUUCGGAUUGGGGUCUGCAACUCGACCCCAUGAAGUCGGAGUCGCUAGUAAUCGCAGAUCAGCAACGCUGCGGUGAAUACGUU
rnacentral:rRNA from 1 species